UGCAUGUUAAGAAUGGGAGUUAAGGUUAACCUUAGUAAAGGUUGCUUCGUGAAAGAGCCCCAGGUCAUCAUUACAGUUAUGACAAUGGUUGAUUAAAGGGUUCCUAUGUUUUCCAGAAAUCCCAAAAUUGUGAAAAGCAGCAAAGGGAUCUAACUC